rnacentral:rRNA from 1 species
AAAUUGAAGAGUUUGAUCAUGGCUCAGAUUGAACGCUGGCGGCAGGCCUAACACAUGCAAGUCGAACGGUAACAGGAAGAAGCUUGCUGUUUCGCUGACGAGUGGCGGACGGGUGAGUAAUGUCUGGGAAACUGCCUGAUGGAGGGGGAUAACUACUGGAAACGGUAGCUAAUACCGCAUAACGUCGCAAGACCAAAGA